AAAAAUGAACAAGCCCAGAAACAACUGAAGAUCACUGCCAGAAUCUGGUGCUAGUUCACCCACCGUCUGCCUUCUUCUUCCUCCUCCCUUUUGUUCUUCUCUCUAUCCGAAGAACAAAACUCUCUCCUUCAAUCCUAAAUUAAAAUCUAGUUAUAACCCAGAGAAUGAAGAGCCCAGAUUGCCACCAGAAUCCGGCACCGUUCACCGUUCACUAUCUUCAUCAGAAACCUAACUUCAUAUGGUUCCUAAUUCUAUCUUCAAAACCUGAGAACUCCAAAAAAUACCCAAACAGAAAUUCACAACCUCAAACGAAAUAUUAAGCUGUCGAUUGCUUCUUGUUACUCUAAGCUGUGAAUUACUAAACUUAUUGCUAUAAGUGCUCUUUUGUAAGCUCGAUUGUUGUUGUUUGCAUUUGGUGCAGGAUUCCGGUGAUUAUUUCUGGGUUGAGUGUGUUAGUUGGGUACAAAGUUGGGCUUUCUGGCUAUGGGUUUUUGGGUUUCUCAUUAGGUAAUAGCUUUUCGGUUUUCUGGGAUGGAUUCUUGUUUCUGACUUGUUUUUUAUUUUCACAAUUGUUUGCUGUGUUUGUGCUGUUUGUUGAGACUGUGGGUUUUGCUGACUACUCUGUUUUUGCUUCUAUGGCCGAGAAUUCCUUGCUUUGCUUCUUCCUUGAUUGCUUGAUUUACUUCUGUGUUUGCCGAAUUCCUCUGUUCUGUUUGAUUUUCUCUUUUUUGGUUGGUUCUUGUUUGGCUGCUUUUGGAGUUGGUGUAGCUUGAACUCUGGCUUUGAUUCGUUGAUGUCUUUGCUGCUAAUUCCCCUAGUUUGCACUGCUGAAAUUGCUGUGAGGAAUUGUUCACUGCCUCUGUUGCUUCUUGUUGAAUUGUUUGAAUGCUUCUUGAUUCUGUGUGUUGUGUAUGCUUGUUCUCUUCGUGAUUGCAGGUUAAAAGUUC
rnacentral:lncRNA from 1 species